CGAAUUACUGGCGUAAGCCCCGCGGCGGUUGUCAGUAGGAAAGAAUCCCCGCCUCACCUGGGACUUCAUCGAAGUGGCUGCUAGAGUCUGUAGAGGGGGUAUAAUUCCAUGGUGAGCGAUAAAUGCGUAGAGAUCUGGACGAAUACCGGUGAGGAAGGCGGCCCCCUGGACAAAGACUGACGCUCAGGUGAGAAAGCGUGGGGAGCAAGCAGGAUUAGAUACCUUGGUAGUCCACGCCGUAAACGAUGUCGACUUGGAGGUUGUGCCCUUCAGGCGUGGCUUCCGGAGCUAACGCGUUAAGUCGACCGCCUGGGGAGUACGGCCGCAAGGUUAAAACUCAAAUGAAUUGACGGGGGCCCGCACAAGCGGUGGAGCAUGUGGUUUAAUUAGAUGCAACGAGAAGAACCUUACGUACUCUUCACAUCCAGAGAACUUAGCAGAGAUGCUUUGGUCCCUUCGGGAACUAUGAGACAGGUGCUGCAUGGCUGUCGUCAGCUCGUGUUGUGAAAUGUUGGGUUAAGUCCCGCAACGAGCGCAACCCUUAUCCUUUGUUGCCAGCGGUCCGGCCGGGCACUCAAAGGAGACUGCCGGUGAUAAACCGGAGGAAGGUGGGGAUGACGUCAAGUCAUCAUGGCCCUUACGAGUAGGGCUACACACGUGCUACAAUGGCGCAUACAAAGAGAAGCGACCUCGCGAGAGCAAGCGGACCUCAUAAACCGCGUCGUAGUCCGGAUUGGAGUCUGCAACUCGACUCCAUGAAGUCGGAAUCGCUGG
rnacentral:rRNA from 1 species